rnacentral:tRNA from 1 species
CGGGGUGUGGCUCAGAUGGUAGAGCGCGACGUUCGGGACGUUGAGGCCGCUGGUUCAAGUCCAGUCACUCCGACCA